rnacentral:rRNA from 1 species
UACGGGGGGGCAAGCGUUGUUCGGAAUUACUGGGCGUAAAGGGCUCGUAGGUGGCCAACUAAGUCAGACGUGAAAUCCCUCGGCUUAACCGGGGAACUGCGUCUGAUACUGGAUGGCUUGAGUUUGGGAGAGGGACGCGGAAUUCCAGGUGUAGCGGUGAAAUGCGUAGAUAUCGGGAGGAACACCAGUGGCGAAGGCGGCUUUCUGGACAUUUACUGACGCUGAGACGCGAAAGCGUGGGGAGCAAACAGG